GAUGAACGCUGGCGGCGUGCCUAAUACAUGCAAGUCGAGCGAACGGACGAGAAGCUUGCUUCUCUGAUGUUAGCGGCGGACGGGUGAGUAACACGUGGAUAACCUACCUAUAAGACUGGGAUAACUUCGGGAAACCGGAGCUAAUACCGGAUGAUAUUUUGAACCGCAUGGUUCAAAAGUGAAAGACGGUCUUGCUGUCACUUAUAGAUGGAUCCGCGCUGCAUUAGCUAGUUGGUAAGGUAACGGCUUACCAAGGCAACGAUGCAUAGCCGACCUGAGAGGGGGAUCGGCAACACUGAAACUGGGACACGGUCCAAACUCCUACGGAAGCCAGCGGUAGGAAAUCUUCCGCAAUGGGCGAAAGCCGACCGGAGCAACGCGGGGGGAGUGAUGAAGGUCUUCGGUUCGUAAAACUCUGUUAUUAGGAAAAAACAUAUUUGUAGGUAACUGUGCACAUCUGGACGGUACCUAACAAGAAGGCCACGGCAAACUACGU
rnacentral:rRNA from 1 species